rnacentral:misc_RNA from 1 species
AACGCACAUUGCGCCCCUUGGUAUUCCGAGGGGCAUGCCUGUUCGAGCGUCAUUACAACCCUCAAGCACUGCUUGGUAUUGGGCUCCGCUGGUUUCGGCGGGCCUUAAAAACAGUGGCGGCGCCGUCUGAGCUCUGAGCGUAGUAAAUAUCCUCGCUAUGGAGACCAGGUGGUUCUUGUCAUCAACCCCCAACUUUCUAAGUUUGACCUCGGAUCAGGUAGGGAUACCCGCUGAACUUAA